rnacentral:rRNA from 1 species
UACAGAGGUCUCAAGUCGUUGUUCGGAUUCAUUGGGCGUAAAGGGUGUGUAGGUGGCGCCGUAAGUCGGGUGUGAAAUUUCGGAGCUUAACUCCGAAACUGCAUUCGAUACUGCGGUGCUUGAGGACUGGAGAGGAGACUGGAAUUCAUGGUGUAGCAGUGAAAUGCGUAGAGAUCAUGAGGAAGACCAGUGGCGAAGGCGGGUCUCUGGGCCGAUACUGACGUGAGGAGCGAAAGCGUGGGGGAGCGAACAGG